rnacentral:lncRNA from 1 species
UGGUAAGGAAAAUAAAAACGAGGGUUGUAAUCAAUUCGAUUGAUUUGAAGAUAUGGCAACUUUGAACCCUUUUGAUCUGUUGGGUGACGACGCAGAGGAUCCGAGCCAGAUCGCCGUCUCCAUCGCUGCUGAUAAGCCCAAGAAACCUGUACCUGUUUCCGCCGUGUCUGCUAAGUCAUCUGCUCCGUCGAGGCAGCUUCCUCAACCUGGUGAGAUUCGCUUCACACGAUUAGCAAGUUAUUAAACUUUCGUGUCUAUUUGAUUCCGUUUGUGUUAUCCGGUUGUUUUUUUCUGAAUGAUGUUUGAUUAGUGAGAGAGGCUAGGAAUGAUGCUCCACGCGGCGGUGGACGUGGUGGUGGAGACCGAGGAUCUAGCCGUGGUGGUUACAACCGUGAUUUUAGAGGCGGUGAUGGUAACAGUGGAGGAUACAAUAAGCCCUCUGAGGAAGGGGGGGUUUCAAAGCCUUUCUAUGAGAAACGUAGUGUACCUGGUGUGUAUGGCGGUGCUCCUCGCGGUGGUCGACGUGGUGAAGCUGGUGAAGGUGAACGUCCUCGAAGGACAUACGAGCGUCGUAGUGGAACUGGCAGAGGGUCUGUCCUAACCUCAUUCAGUUUUUGUUGUUGUUGUUGAUACAUUAAUCUCUUUUAAGGUUAAGCUUUAUGUUUUGGUGAAGGGGUGACUUCAAAAGGGAAGGAGCUGGUCGUGGAAAUUGGGGAACACCAGGAGAAGAAGUUCUUGUUGUGUAAGCAUUUCUGAUGUUUUAUUAUGAUAGUAGUGAUUAUUGUGAAUUUGGAAUAAAAAGAGAAGCUAUUUGUCUCUUUUAGGGAGACUGAAGAAGUUGCUGGUACUGAGAUUGAGAAGCCUGCUGGUGAUGAGGUUGCUGCUGAUGCUAAGAAGGAGAACACUGCUGAAGUCGAGGAGCAGAAAGAGCCUGAGGAUAAGGUAACCAGAGGAAUUAAGAUAGACGUUAGGUUGCUAUAAUAGGACAUGAAACUGAACUUACACUUGUCUCUGCUUUUUUUUUUUUUUUUAAUUCUCUCAAGACACCCACAUGAGAAGAAGAGAGUUUACCAUUACUCAGUAGGGAGGUUCCAUUAUCAGUGCCAUUGGCUAAACUAGGUGAAUCCAUGGGUAAAAAGGUUACGUUUAGUCGCCUGGCGUUAUUUCUACCACCUCUUUGUCUACGCUUACGAGGUUUCGAGCUGCAGAACAUUAUUGGUUGGGGUUAAUAGAGAUGUUCUGACAAGGAGUUGCUGCUAUUAAUGUAUAUAUUUAACUUAUUAAGGUAGGCUUCUGAAAGUUACCAAAAAGAGAUAAGCUCAUAUUUCUCUUGAUGGUUGACUUCUUCCUGGUACAAAGAAGGAAUGAAUAUCAACUACAAUUUCUACCAGCUCCCAAGUUAACCAAGUUUAAAGUAACUGACCUCUGAUUCGAAUGCAUCAAGUCUUACAGAGACAUUAACUGUCUGGUAAUCAUCUUCUGAAAGCUACAAUAGGAAAAAGAUGUUUGUUGUAACUAGAAUUUCAUAGCAAAACAAGAGAGUUGGAAUAAAAAAAAAAACAUACCAUGAACUCAAAUUCAAACAAGUCAUGGAACGAAUUCAAAUGAAGUUGCAGCCCCUGCGCAGACACAAUAACAAUGGACUGUAAGCUCAAUCAAUCAGAUAACCAUACUCUGCAAUUUAUAGAGAGCGAGAAGAUAAAGGAAACACACACCUUGAAGCUACCACAUGUCAUAUAGCAAAAUGGACAAGAACAAUUCUCCGUAACUGCGUGAAAAAAUUCAGGAAAUAAAAACAAAAGUAGAGAGAAAUAGACAUGAGAGAACAUAAUAAAACACACACACACACCUUCAGUUUUCUGCAAUGUGUUAUUACAAUCCUUAUAAUUAAAAACUACAAUCCCAGCAGAUCCGGACCUAAAGAGAAGAAGCCAUUCAUGAGUUUCCAUAAUUAGACCCGAGAAAAGGAGGAUUAAAGAAUCAUUACUUUGUUUUGCCCUUUGCACGAAUAUUGUAACUCAAGCAUCUAGGAAGAAACGAUGGCUGCACAAAGAAAGAAACAAAAGUUAAAGAGGAUCACAGUCAAGCCAUGAAGCAGUAUCAUCAGCAGAGCUAAAAGAAAAUGAUUUACGUUGAAAAGGGAGCGAAUGCGAAGAAUGUUGUAGAGACGAACAGGUUUACAGUAGAUCAAGAGAUUCUCAUCAGGUGGUGAAACCACCUCCUCCUCUUGUGACGAUUUCGCGCAACAAUUAUGCCUACACAUUCUCUCCUCCUCUACUCAAUUAGCUGCUAGAUCUCCUCUUCUUCUUCUUCUUCUUCUGCAAUUAGGAUUAUUAAUUGAAAUCAAAAUUAAACAGAUCCGGAGUUGAACCUAAAAAGAAGAAAGUGAAAUCAAGAGCUGAAUUAGCUAACAUGGGAAGCUCUGGAACCUGAUCGGAGAGGCUCGAUGUGCCGGAGAAGAAGGAGAGAGAGGAUGAGGCGUAGAUGCAAGCCACUGAGUCAUCGCCACGCCAUCUUCUCUUUCUCCUUUUCUACUUUCUUUUCCUUUUUUUAUUUAUAGAUUUUGCUAAUUUUUGUUUCUUUUGUAAGCAAUUAUAUAAUUUACAUUUAAAAAAAAAAAACUAAAAUCUAACGCUUUACAAUAAUAAAAGUUGAAAACAUGAUAAACAACAACAUUUGAAAGUUGAAAUCCAAAGGGCAGUUUCGUUUUGAGAGGUGUUACAUUAUUAAUUGAUUGUUAUUAUUCACCAAAACAACUCCCAGUUCACAUAAAUAUAUGUUCACAACUAGCCUAUUUCUCUGAUAAACAACACUUUUAGACAAUCAUAAAAGAUGUUCUUAAAUUCUCGUACGUAAUUAGUUAACUUUAAACUGAGCAUCAGAAUAACAAAUAUCAUAAAUUAUGGUACAUAAUUAGUUAACUUAAAUUGAUUAAUACUCUCAAUUAGACAAUCCAUUUAGAAGAUAUAUAUAUAUAUAUAUAUAGAAAAAUUAAAUCUGAAAUUUAAAUGAGUGAAUUCGAAACAUACUGUAUUAAUAAGAUGAUAAUAUUGAAAACGAUAAAACAUUCAAAAGAAUGUAUAUGAAGAAAAACUAAACUCUAAUCUAAACCCUAAAUUAGAAUAAGGAAGUACAAACAUAUUUAAACGAUAAACCAAUAGCAAAAAUUUAGUGAAUCCAAACUGAUUAAAGUACAAUAGGAGGGGUCCACAAAAAUGAUAGGACUAAAUUAGCUAACACUGAGAAGCUGUUGGGCUUUAAUAAGAUUUGCUGGGCUUUAGCUUUUUAUCACCUGUAAAUAAAAGAAAAGUUAGUAAAAGACUGAACUAUCUCUGCUCAGCCGCCACUGCAAAAAAAAAUGCCACCUAUUAUUAUCUUCUCAUUCAUUACAUUUCUCUCACCAACUUAAGUUCCUGUCCUAAAUACCAUUUGGUCUUUUUUUCCUCUAGAUCUGUACUGUCCGUUGAUUCAUCAUGGCUUCACAUAAUUACUAGUUCUGUUCUGUCUGUGUGAUAAUUUUGGUAAGGAAAGAAAAAACGAGGGCUGUAAUCAAUUCGAUUGAUUUGAAGAUAUGGCAACUUUGAACCCUUUUGAUCUGUUGGGUGACGACGCAGAGGAUCCGAGCCAGAUCGCCGUCUCCAUCGCUGCUGAUAAGCCCAAGAAACCUGCACCUGUUUCCGCUAAGUCAUCUGCUCCGUCGAGGCAGCUUCCUCAACCU